AUGCUGGGGAGGGGCCGGGGGCGAGGCCGCGGAGGCGGGGGCAGGGGGAGAUUCAGCGGCGGGAGGGGCGACGGCUCGCCCCGUCUCGGCGGCCGCGAUGAUCCACCGCCGACGCCGCGGCGCUCCUCCGGGUGGGGCGUGGCGCCGCCGUCUCGGCAUCUCUGGGUGGGCAGCCUGGCCCCCGGCGUCACCGCCUCGGACCUUUCGCAGCUGUUCCACCGGUGCGGCGACAUCGAGCGCAUCACCCGCGACCCUGGCCGGACCUUCGCCUUCGUGAGCUUCAUGCGGGAGCAGGACGCCAUCGCCGCGGUCCGGGAACUGCAGGGGGCCCGGCUCCAAGGAACGCCCGUUAGGAUUGAGUUUUCCAAGGGGGAUAAGUCAUCAGGUAGCUAUGUGGAUGACAGACAUGCACAAUCUUCUGAUGAGAGACAUUUUGUUGAACAUGGAAGAAAACAUCAAUCAAGCCCUGAAAAAUCAGUUGAUAAAUCUAAAAGAAAUAAGUCUACAGAACCUAGUGAGGUUUUAUGGAUAGGUUUUCCUGCUGGUCUAAAGGUAGACGAGGCAGCUCUGUGGGAAGCCUUCUCUCCUUUUGGUGAGAUUGUCAAGAUAACAACAUUCCCAGGCCGCACCUAUGGAUUUGUUAAGUACACUACCAUUACAGCGGCAUGCAGGGCAAAAGAAGCACUUCAGGGGAGGCUUUUCAAUAACCCAAGAGUAAGCAUAUGCUUUUCUCGUAAUGAAGGAGUUGCAGCAGAAGUUGGAAGAUGUUCCUCCGUUGCCCCGUAUUCCCCCCACUUAAACCGUAGUGUUCGGUCUAGGUCUGUAUUUGAAAACCAAGAUUUUGAGGCCUUUACUAGGCCAAGGCGUUUUGAUAGUCCUCCGAGAGAUCUCCGCAUGUCAUCACUGCGUGCUGGCCCUGAAAGGUUACUGAGAGAUGCUGAUGAUGUGGGCUUCAGCAGGGAUAAUUAUCUUCGACGCGGACCUCAAAUAGAGUCUGGUCAUGUUUCUAAUUUUGAACCUUUUAGGAUGCGAGGGUUGGGUCCAGAGAAAAGGAUGUCUGAAGACAUAUAUGAACAACACAGAAGUAGCCCUACCAUUAGGGGUGAAACACCAUGGCACAGUAUUCCUUUUGAGCGACCUCGAAGACCCUUCCCGUUGGAAGAUUCUUGGGAUGCAGAUGAUCAUUCAUACCCAUUGUCAAAGAAGCUGAGGACUGGUGAAUUGCAUGAUGCUGAACUUCCCGAAUAUCCAUUCUCUGAAUUUGAUCGAGGGCAUGUUGACUCUGGCUACCCAAGGAGGCCCUUCCGUGAUCUGCGAGUAGAUGAUGCACACCCCAUAACCUAUGAACCUCCCCUGGCGCAUGGUAGAAAUUACAUUGAGCUUGUAAGGAAUCCAAACCCACCUAUUGAUAACCAUGAACCGUGGCGUUCCCAAAAUAGUUUUGCUAUGCAUGCAAGGGAAGUGGAUAGAUCAACUCCUGAACAUCAUGGACCUCUUCCUAAAGAAGAGUGGAGCUGGAAUGGCACAAUAGCAAAGGGGGGCACACCAAUCUGCCGAGCUCGGUGCUUCCCUGUCGGGAAGGUCCUUAACUUCAUGCUGCCUGACCUUUUGGACUGCACUGCUAGGACAAACUUGGAGAUGCUUUCUAAACAUUACUAUGAAGCUGCUAGCAGUUGGGUGGUGUUUUUUGUCCCAGAAAAUGAUGCUGACAUGGCAGCUUAUAAUGAUUUCAUGAACUACCUUGGUGAUAAGCAGCGUGCUGCAGUUUGUAAACUUGGAGAAAGGAGCACCUUGUUUCUUGUUCCACCGUCAGACUUUUCUGAACAUGUACUUAGGGUGCCAGGAAAAGUGAGCAUAUCUGGAGUCAUUCUGAAGUUUCAGCUGGCAAAUCCAGACCUGACCUCUGCAAAUCGUCAACAGGAAGCAUCGGAGAAAAUGCCUACAUCUUUUGCGAGUUAUCUGAACACUGAUGUGAGUAGUCAUGAGGAUCGAGAUGCCUUGAGAAGACUCAACCCUCCAGAUACGAGGACAGUUCCUCAGGGUCCAGAUUAUCUCCAGCCAUCUACUGGAGUCUACACUCCUGCAAGUACAGAUUUUAUUCCACCUUACAAGUUUGCGAAUGCUUCUCCAUAUCUGGCCUCUCAGUUACCUCAACAAAUGCCAGCACCAGACUCCCGCAGGGAAACGGCACAAGGCCAGCACCAGCAAUCCCCAAAUGUGUGGCCCUCAGGAUGGUCCAGUAAUAAUGACCCAAGUCCAGGUUCCGGUAAUUUCAAUUCUUUGGCUGCAAGUGCAGUCUCGCAUACACAAAAUGAUAGGACAUCAGAGCCAUACUCAUUUGCUACUCAGGGAGUACCAAAAGGCACACCAUCAGGGUAUGCACCAGGUGAAGCGUCAAACAUGUCCUUACCUUCCAUGAAACCACCUCAACCUCCAUUGCAGCAGGCAGUUAGACCUCAACAAACUCCAUCUGCCCCAGUAUCACUCCCACCGGUGCAACUUGCACAGCUGGCUACUCUUCUUGCACAACAAAACCAACGAGUAGAAGCUGGCUUGCCAGUAGGCAGCUCAAACAGACAAUCAGGAUUCAUACAGAACUAUAAUCCACGUGAGCAUGCUUCAGUGAUGCCAGACAGCUCAGGUCGAUUCAUACAGAACGCUAAUCAUGCUUCAGUGAUGCCAGAUAGCUCAGGUUCAAUCCCUGUCCACAACUCGCUGUUACCAGUUCCACCAUCUGUCCCAUCGCAAUUGCAGGUCCAUCCGCCGCCAAUGCAAGCUCAUUCUUCCGUGCCUUUGGGGUCAUUUGUUCCCCCACUUCCGGCAGGCCCUCCCCCCUUUCAGCAGCUUACUUCAGGCGGUGCGUCAAUGCAAACUUUGCUUCCUUCUGCCCAGCAGAUGGGCCAGCAGCUGUCUGCUCAGGAAGACCUUGACGGAGAUCCUCAAAAACGCCUUCAAGCAACAUUGCAGUUGGCAGCAACACUGCUUCAGCAGAUACAUAAACAAUCAAAACCAGGUGGCCAGCAAUAG
rnacentral:rRNA from 1 species